GGCCCCGUCGUCCAGCGGCCCAGGACGCCGGCCUUUCAAGCCGGUAACGCCAGUUCGAAUCUGGUCGGGGCUACCA
rnacentral:tRNA from 1 species